rnacentral:tRNA from 1 species
GUCCCCUUCGUCUAGAGGCCUAGGACAAAGAAAAUUCACGGCGGUAACAGGGGUUCGAAUCCCCUAGGGGACGCCA